rnacentral:lncRNA from 1 species
CGCCGCGCUGCUCUUGAAGUCAGUCCGGAGACGGCGUUGCUUUUCGGAUGUUGGAGCUCCUCCAGGCUCCACCGGUGCCCGUUCCCACCCCACCUCCUUGGGACGCCUGCACUUCCUCACCCCGCUGCCAGCUUUUCAGAUGAAUUCAGGAACCCUCCUGCAGCCUCUCCUAACAGUCGUGAGCAACAGUACGAGUGAGCCUUCACGUAGUGACAUCUUGGGGAUGAAUAGUUUCUAAUCACG